CGGCCACAUUGGGACUGAGACACGGCCCAGACUCCUACGGGAGGCAGCAGUGGGGAAUAUUGCACAAUGGGGGAAACCCUGAUGCAGCGACGCCGCGUGGAGGAAGAAGGUCUUCGGAUUGUAAACUCCUGUUGUUGAGGAAGAUAAUGACGGUACUCAACAAGGAAGUGACGGCUAACUACGUGCCAGCAGCCGCGGUAAAACGUAGGUCACAAGCGUUGUCCGGAAUUACUGGGUGUAAAGGGAGCGCAGGCGGGAGAACAAGUUGGAAGUGAAAUCCAUGGGCUCAACCCAUGAACUGCUUUCAAAACUGUUUUUCUUGAGUAGUGCAGAGGUAGGCGGAAUUCCCGGUGUAGCGGUGGAAUGCGUAGAUAUCGGGAGGAACACCAGUGGCGAAGGCGGCCUACUGGGCACCAACUGACGCUGAGGCUCGAAAGUGUGGGUAGCAAACAGGAUUAGAUACCCUGGUAGUCCACACCGUAAACGAUGAUUACUAGGUGUUGGAGGAUUGACCCCUUCAGUGCCGCAGUUAACACAAUAAGUAAUCCACCUGGGGAGUACGACCGCAAGGUUGCAACUCAAAUGAAUUGACGGA
rnacentral:rRNA from 1 species